rnacentral:rRNA from 1 species
CAUAGGUUAAUGAGGCGAACCGGGGGAACUGAAACAUCUAAGUACCCCGAGGAAAAGAAAUCAACCGAGAUUCCCCCAGUAGCGGCGAGCGAACGGGGAGCAGCCCAGAGCCUGAAUCAGUGUGUGUGUUAGUGGAAGCGUCUGGAAAGGCGCGCGAUACAGGGUGACAGCCCCGUACACAAAAAUGCACAUACUGUGAGCUCGAUGAGUAGGGCGGGACACGUGGUAUCCUGUCUGAAUAUGGGGGGACCAUCCUCCAAGGCUAAAUACUCCUGACUGACCGAUAGUGAACCAGUACCGUGAGGGAAAGGCGAAAAGAACCCCGGCGAGGGGAGUGAAAAAGAACCUGAAACCGUGUACGUACAAGCAGUGGGAGCCUCUUUAUGGGGUGACUGCGUACCUUUUGUAUAAUGGGUCAGCGACUUAUAUUCUGUAGCAAGGUUAACCGAAUAGGGGAGCCGAAGGGAAACCGAGUCUUAACUGGGCGUUAAGUUGCAGGGUAUAGACCCGAAACCCGGUGAUCUAGCCAUGGGCAGGUUGAAGGUUGGGUAACACUAACUGGAGGACCGAACCGACUAAUGUUGAAAAAUUAGCGGAUGACUUGUGGCUGGGGGUGAAAGGCCAAUCAAACCGGGAGAUAGCUGGUUCUCCCCGAAAGCUAUUUAGGUAGCGCCUCGUGAAUUCAUCUCCGGGGGUAGAGCACUGUUUCGGCAAGGGGGUCAUCCCGACUUACCAACCCGAUGCAAACUGCGAAUACCGGAGAAUGUUAUCACGGGAGACACACGGCGGGUGCUAACGUCCGUCGUGAAGAGGGAAACAACCCAGACCGCCAGCUAAGGUCCCAAAGUCAUGGUUAAGUGGGAAACGAUGUGGGAAGGCCCAGACAGCCAGGAUGUUGGCUUAGAAGCAGCCAUCAUUUAAAGAAAGCGUAAUAGCUCACUGGUCGAGUCGGCCUGCGCGGAAGAUGUAACGGGGCUAAACCAUGCACCGAAGCUGCGGCAGCGACACUAUGUGUUGUUGGGUAGGGGAGCGUUCUGUAAGCCUGUGAAGGUGUGCUGUGAGGUAUGCUGGAGGUAUCAGAAGUGCGAAUGCUGACAUAAGUAACGAUAAAGCGGGUGAAAAGCCCGCUCGCCGGAAGACCAAGGGUUCCUGUCCAACGUUAAUCGGGGCAGGGUGAGUCGACCCCUAAGGCGAGGCCGAAAGGCGUAGUCGAUGGGAAACAGGUUAAUAUUCCUGUACUUGGUGUUACUGCGAAGGGGGGACGGAGAAGGCUAUGUUGGCCGGGCGACGGUUGUCCCGGUUUAAGCGUGUAGGCUGGUUUUCCAGGCAAAUCCGGAAAAUCAAGGCUGAGGCGUGAUGA